UAAUACGUAGGUGGCAAGCGUUGUCCGGAAUUAUUGGGCGUAAAGCGCGCGCAGGUGGUUCUUUAAGUCUGAUGUGAAAGCCCACGGCUCAACCGUGGAGGGUCAUUGGAAACUGGGGAACUUGAGUGCAGAAGAGGAAAGUGGAAUUCCAAGUGUAGCGGUGAAAUGCGUAGAGAUUUGGAGGAACACCAGUGGCGAAGGCGACUUUCUGGUCU
rnacentral:rRNA from 1 species